UGUUUUAGUUCAAGUGCCUCUGUUUCCAGAUGACUUAUCUUAAUUUUUAAGUUCUUUUCCCAAUUGUCUUCAGCCUCUCUUAGUUGUGUUUUGAGUUCUUCCACAGCCUGUAUCCAAUUCACUGGGAUUUCUGCUUUAUCGUUUGCUGAUCUCUCCCCCUCUGUUCCAUUUGCUGAGUAGUAGCUGUCUAUUGUAGUUUCUUUCUUCUGUUUCUGUUUUUUGUUCAAAUUCACCCCUUCUUUCCUCCCCGUAUUUGUCUGUGCUCUUGUUCCUCUCAUUUUUUGUUUUUUGGGGGACUUCUAUCAGUCUCCCCUCUUGGAGCUUUAACAGAGGAUCUCUUGGUGUAAUCUCUGGGGGAUGGUUGUUGGGGGUUUGAGCUUUCCUGUCCUCUGGAGGCUUUUGAUUGGCUUAAAGUCCAGCAGUCGAUGAGGAUGGGUGGGGAGCCUGAGCUUCCCUGUGUUCUGGAGACUUUUGAUGGGAUUGAGUUCAGCUUAGUUGGGCUGGGUUUACUCUGAGUUUUAAACUUCCUGGACGGCUGGAGCAGAUAUGGAGGAUCUCCAAAGCUCUAGCCAGGCUGCCAGGUCUAUGCUCCUUCUAGGCUGCCAUCUUGAUUUUGCCUCUUGGUUUCUGUUUUUUUCAGAAGACCCUGCUCUCUAAGUUGGGAGAUGCAUGGCCUCUCUGGGCUCUGAGGGCUCCUGAUGGGAUUAGGUUCACCUGGUUUGGGCCGAAUGAGCCCUGAUGCAAUAAGCCUCCUCCUCCACAGUCUGUGUUGAAUGCCUGGAGACUGGCCUGGGUUGUUUUCAAGGAUUUCCACCAAGCUGGAAGGAGGUUUGACUCUACCUGGACUUCUACCAAGCUGGAGGACAUUUUGCUCUGAGUGAUUUUCCCUAGAGAGUCAACAUUUUGUGGAGAAUUUUUGACUUCUUGGUAGAGAAUUUACUUUGGAGGAAACCAUUUUCCCUGAGUACAGAGAUCAUCUGUCAGUGAUCCCUCUGCCAGAAAUCCUUUUGUGCUGAGAUGAAGGAACUGAAGUUGAGAGACACAGUGAUUAUUCCAGGAUUUUAAUAGCUGGGCCAAGUUGACAAACCUAUGGCAUGUGUGCCAGAGCAUGCUGGAGGAGGCUGCUCCCUUCCCCCUUUCCACUCAUGCCUCUGGACAUUUCUCACAUCACUUGUCCCUCUGCCCAGCAGAGUGCUAGGAGUGUGUCCUCUCUCUCCUGUUUGGAGUAAGGUAGGGGGCUCACAUGCAGCAUGAGGGUUGUAGUUUAGAUACUUGAUCUCUAAAAGGUUCACCAUCACUGCUAUAGGGUUUUUCUAAGUAUAUACGAUCUUCAAAAAGUGAUUUUGUUUCUUCAUCACUUUUGCUUAUUUCUUCAAUUUCUUUUAUUUUUCACUGCUAUAACUAGGAAUAAUAAAAAUUUUAUACAAUAGUGGAUAAUAAUUGGACCCAUUGUCUUAUUAGGAAGAUUUCUACUUUAUCCCCAUUAUAGAUCAUGCUUACUCUUGGUUUUAGAUAGAUGUUGCUUAUUAUUUUAAGAAAAGCUCCAUUUAUUCUUAUGCUUUCUAGUGUUUUUCAUAGGAGUGGGGAUUGUAUUUGACAAAAGGUUUUUCUGCAUCUGUUGAUAUGAUAAUAUGAUUUUUAUUUAUGUUAUUGAUGUGGUCAGUUAAGAUCAUAAUUUUCCUAAUAUUGAACCAACCUUUUAUUCCUAGUCUAAAUAUGGUUGGUAAACAUAUAUGUUCUUUGGGAUGUAGUGUUUUAUUCUCCUUGCUAGUAUUUUAAUUAAACAUUUUUACAUCAAUAUUUAUUAGAGAACUUGAUUAUUGUUUUCUUUCUCUGUUUUUGUUCUUCUUGAUAAGGACUGAAAAACAUUUUUGUCUCGGAACAACACUUCCUCUUUACCUAUUUUUCAGUUUAUAAAAUACUGGAGGUGUGUUUUUUUUUAAAUGUUUGUUUAAAUUCAAAAGUCAUCUGGUCCUGUUUGUAUAUUCCUUAAGUAAUUAAUUUAUGACUCUUAAGAUUUAUUGUUCUAAGACAGGGUUAUUUAAAUAUUCUAUAUUCUUUUCUGAUAAUCUGGACAAUUUAUGUUUUGUAAACAGUCAUCAUUAUAUUUAAUU